AUUCGGCACAAGAAAGACGUUGCUGCACGUAGCGUUUGUUAAUGGUACAGCUUCGGAGAGCUCUGUGUCCGAAUUCCAGGCCUUUUGUUUCUUUGGUGACAGACCGAGGCUAUUCCCAGGGCUAUGUUUGCAGUGAUUGCUGUGGCUGUCCUUUUGGAAAUGUGCUGAUGCUCAGCUGGUGUAGGUACUUGGCGUGGUAUUCAGAGCUUGCACGUGAGUGCACCUAACCCUACUAACAGGACUGUCUUUUGGUCAAGAUCAGGGGGGCACAAAGUUGACAUUUUCUUGGUGGGGUAGGAAGGUAAGUCGGGAAGGGUGUUGCCGAGGGAUGGAGGAUUUAAUGGUAAUGGGAGACUCAGGGGGACUCCUCCCUUACCUGUUCAUUGCCAGAUCUUUUCACACUGGGGACUUGCCCCCCUUCUUUAAAGGAGGACUAUUUUCCUAAACAAAGGGUGACCGCCCUGUACUCAGGGAUCAGGUCUCUUUCCCUUUUCUCCUCUCUGCCUUUGCCCUUUUAAUGCCAAAGUCCCUGGCUGGGCAAAGAGAUCCCCCUCUACCGAGGGAUUGCAGGUCUCUCCUUCUCCGCCCUCUUGGCAACGGCCCUCUGUGAUGCCCCUGGCUUAAGGACCACCCUGUAAGGAGGGUUUGGGUCUCCUUCGUCACGCUUACGUAGCCACAGGUCACUUUGACAUGCCAGGCAAAAGGACUGCCCUGUAACCAGGGUGUAAGGUCUUAGCCCUCUCCUUCUUCGACUAGGAGAGCCUCUUUGUGCCUGUGGCUGAGUGACCCCCCUUUAAGAAGGGACGAGGUCUCUCUGGCUUUCUACCAUUUAGAACCGAGCCUUUAAUAUGCCUUGUGCCACUGACCUCUCCCUGUAAGAAGGGUGCAGGUCUCCCCUUUCUAGCUUGUCUUAGGCCGCUGGCACUUGCUGGGCAAAGGGACCACCCUCUACUGAGGGAAUGGAGGUCCCUCCUUUUCAGCGCUCUUGGCAAGGGCCCAUUGUGAUGCGCCUGGCUUAAGGACCACCCUGUAAGCAGGGUUUGGGUCUCCUUCCCCAUCCUUAUUUAGCCACCUGUCACUUUGACACCCCAGGCAAAAGGACCGCUCUGUAACCAGGGCCUAAGGUCUUAUCCCUCUCAUUCUUAAACUAGGAGAACCCCUUUGUGCCUCUGGCUGAGUGACCCCCCUUUAAGAAGGGUUGAGGUUCUACUUCGGUUAGUCACCUUAAAUGGCACUAGAAUGAUUUCUACUUGGCUCUUCUGGGUUCUGAAGUCAAAUCUGAUUUGCGUCCCAUGGAUUUCCUCUCCGGGACACAUGGAACCAGGUGUGGCGAAGGGGCGGCUGUAAGGGGAUGGUGGAGGCCGUGAAAAAUUCAACCCUUUCCUCAAAAAAGCCUAGAAAUCACCAAAGUCCAAAGUGAGCUCCCUCUAACUAGGGUGCAGGUUUUUCUCUCACUUUCCCAAGAUUACACUCCCCUUUGAAAGCUAGUUCUAGAAAGCAGCCUCUUGAGAGAGUGAAGGGUCUGCCCUUGUAGCUGCCCUGUGCCCGUGGCCUCCUCACGCUCUCAGCCAAGUCAAAGCCCAGCGCACUCUGCAUCCAGAUGGCCCUGAGUUCGGCUGCAAGCUCUCCUGCCUUCUGCUACGGAUUGCCGCCGAAGCCGAGGAAUUGGGCAACUCAAAGGACAAAAUGAAGACGACGACAGAAGCACCAGAGAAGCUGCAGGAAAAGAGAAGUGAAGGCCAGUCAAAAAC